rnacentral:rRNA from 1 species
AUGUACAUGCCUACAAUAGUGUUAAUGCACCAGAUUCCAUUAGAACUCUAUAGUUAAGCCCACUCAGGGUAGACUAGUACUGGGAUGGGUGAUUUCUUGGGAAGUCCUAGUGUUUUACAUG